UACGUAGGGUGCGAGCGUUGUCCGGAAUUACUGGGCGUAAAGAGCUCGUAGGUGGUUUGUCGCGUUGUUCGUGAAAACCGGGGGCUUAACCCUCGGCGUGCGGGCGAUACGGGCAGACUGGAGUACUGCAGGGGAGACUGGAGUUCCUGGUGUAGCGGUGGAAUGCGCAGAUAUCAGGAGGAACACCGGUGGCGAAGGCGGGUCUCUGGGCAGUAACUGACGCUGAGGAGCGAAAGCGUGGGGAGCGAACAGG
rnacentral:rRNA from 1 species